rnacentral:snoRNA from 1 species
CAGAUGAUGAAUUUAUUGAUGGGCAGGUGGAAACUGUGUGCUGACUGUCAAGUUCUGAUUUG